rnacentral:rRNA from 1 species
UGGUAUCGGAUGACCUGUGAUUAGGGGUGAAAGGCCAACCAAACUCGGAAAUAGCUGGUUCUCCGCGAAAACUAUUUAGGUAGUGCGUCGUGUGAAUACCAUCGGGGGUAGAGCACUGGAUGGGCUAGGGGGAUCCAAAGUCUUACCAAACCUAACCAAACUCCGAAUACCGAUGAGUACUGCGCGGCAGACAGACGGCGGGUGCUAAGGUCCGUCGUCGAGAGGGAAACAGCCCAGACCGCCAGCUAAGGUCCCUAAGUCAUGGCUAAGUGGGAAAGGAUGUGGGAAGGCCAAAACAACCAGGAGGUUGGCUUAGAAGCAGCCAUCCUUUAAAGAAAGCGUAAUAGCUCACUGGUCUAAAUAAGCCAGCCUGCGCCGAAGAUGUACCGGGGCUCAAGCCAUGCACCGAAGCUGCGGACUCGAAAGAGUGGUAGCGGAGCGUUCCGUAAGCCUGCGAAGGGAGACCCGUGAGGGCUCCUGGAGGUAUCGGAAGUGAGAAUGCUGACAUAAGUAGCGAUAAAAAGCGUGAGAGACGCUUUCGCCGUAAGUCCAAGGGUUCCUGCGCAAGGUCAAUCCGCGCAGGGUUAGCCGGCCCCUAAGUCGAGGGCGACAGCCGUAGACGAUGGGAACCACGUCAAUAUUCGUGGGCCUGCUGGUGGUGACGGAUCCGAAAAGUGGCCCGAGCUCGUUGGCGAAUGCUCGGGCGGCCCAAGGGUUCCAGGAAAUAGCCCCAGCGUAUAGACCGUACCCUAAACCGACACAGGUGGACUGGUAGAGUAUACCAAGGCGCUUGAGGGAACCAUGUUGAAGGAACUAGGCAAUUUACCCCCGUAACUUCGGGAUAAGGGGGCCUCUGUCCGUCUGGACAGAGGGGCACAGACUAGGGGGUGGCGACUGUUUACCAAAAACACAGGGCUCUGCUAAGCCGUGAGGCGAAGUAUAGGGUCUGACGCCUGCCCGGUGCCGGAAGGUUAAGAGGAGAGGUGCAAGCCUUGAAUUGAAGCCCCGGUAAACGGCGGCCGUAACGAUAACGGUCCUAAGGUAGCGAAAUUCCUUGUCGGGUAAGUUCCGACCUGCACGAGGGCGUAACGACUUCCCCGCUGUCUCCAACAUGGGCUCGGCGAAAUUGAAUUCCCCGUGAAGAUGCGGGGUACCCGCAGUUAGACGGAAAGACCCCGUGCACCUUUACUACAACUUUGCAGUGGCAUUAGAGAAUGGAUGUGUAGGAUAGGCGGGAGCCUUUGAAACUUUGGCGCUAGCUAAGGUGGAGGCAACCUUGAAAUACCGCCCUUUUGUUCUUUGAUGUCUAACCGCGGUCUGU